AGCGGAAAGCAACAGGCACAGUGGGUGGAAAAGGAAAGGGGCCCAUUAGACGAAUCUGAUUCAUCUUCUCUGACUAAGCGCCCGCAGCAGACAGUAAGCUCUCUGAAGUCAAGAACCAUACUUGUUUUGUUCACUACUGUAUACCCAGCACCUAAUAGUACUUGGCACAUAAAUACUCAGGGACUAUUUGUCAAAUGUAAGAGUGUAUACCCCUAAAGAAGUAUACAUGAAGCUGGAGACAUGAAGACAUAUAACAGGAAAAUCGGCAAAAAAUGCCUUUAAGUAUUAUAGAAAUGCCGCAGGCCUCCACUUAAAUUGAAAAAUAAGCUAAUACCUCUUGAUAAAAAAUGUGGAUUGAGACCAAGAAGCAGCUUCUCCCCUCCUUCUGGAAUGUCUGCCUGGUUCAGCCCGCCUGCCUCCAUUCCUGCCUCCCCCAUGUCCAUUAGGGUGACCCAGAAGUCCUACAAGAUGUCCACCUCUGGCCCCUGGGCCUUCAUCAGUGGCUCCUACAUGAGCAGGCCCAGUGCCUGCAUCUGCUCCUGGAAGCUUCUGAGUGGGCAGCAGCAGCUUCUGGGGUGGCCUGGGCAGAGGCUAUGGUGGGCCCAGCAGCUUGGGUGGCAUCACUGCCAUCAUGGUCAGCUAGAGCCUGCUGAGCCCCCUUAACCUGGAGGUGGACCCCAGCAUCCAGGCUGUGUGCAUCCAGGAGAAGGAGUAGAUGAAGACUCUCAACAAGUUUCCUCCUUCAUAGACAAAGUAUGGUUCCUGGAGCAGCAGAACAAGAUGCUGGAGACCAAGUGGAGCCUCCUGCAGCAGCAGAAGACGGCUCAGAGCAACAUGGAACAUGUUCGAGAGCUACAUCAACAACCUUAGGUGGCAGCUGGAGACUGGGCCAGGAGAAGCUGAAGCUGGAGGUGGAGCUUGGCAACAUGCAGGCGCUGGUGGAGGACUUCAGGAACAAGUAUGAGGAUGAGAUCAGUAAGAGUACAGAGAUGGAGAAUGAAUCUGUCCUUAUCAAGAAGGAUGUGGAUGAAGCUUACACGAACAAGGUAGACCUGGAGCCUCUCCUGGAAGGGCUGACCAAUGAGAUCAACUUCCUCAGGCGUCUGUAUGAAAAGGAGAGCAGGGAGCUGCAGUCCCAGAUCUCAGGCAUGUCUGUGGUGCUGUCCAUGGACAACAGCUGCUCCCUGGACAUGGACAGCAUCAUCGCUGAGGUCAAGGUGCAGUACAAGGAGAUUGCCGUCCACCGCUGGGCUGAUGCUGAGAGCAUGUACCAGAUCCAGUAUGAGGAGCUGCAGACUUGAAGCUAGCUGGGAAGCAUGGGUAUGUCCUGCAGCAUACAAAGACUGAGAUCUCCAGAACAUCAGCUGGUUGAGAUUGAGGACCUCAAAGGCCAGAGGGGUUCCAUGAAGGCCACCAUUGCCAAUGCCGAGCAGCAUGGGGAGCUGGCCAUUAAGGAUGCCAACAUCGAGCUGUCCAAGCUGGAGCCCACUCUGCAGCCAGCCAAGCAGGACAUGGCGUGGCAGCUGUGUGAGUACCAGGAGCUGAUGACCAUCAAGCUGGCCCUGGACAUCAAGAUCACCACUUACAGGAAGCUGCUGGAGGGCGAGGAGAGCCAGCUGGAGUCUGGGAUGCAGAACAUGAGUAUCCAUACGAAGACCACCAGCGGCUAUGCAGGUGGUCUGAGCUCGGCCUAUGGAGGCCUCACAAACCCCGGCCUCAGCUAUGGCUUGGGCUCCAGCUCUUUCAGCCUCACCAGUUCCACCAGGGCCAUGGUUGUGAAGAGUAUUGAGGCCCCCGAUGGGAAGCUGGUGUCCUAGUCCUCUGACAUCCUGCCCAAGUGAACAGCUGCAGCAGCUGCUUCCAGCUUGCCCCUUCUAUGGCUGCCUCAGACACCAGGAGGGAGGCCACUGUGCAGGGGAGCACAGAGAAUGGGAGACCCACCUGAUGCUCAGCCCUAGCCCUCAGCCCACCCUCAGUGGAGUUUACUGCCUGGCAACCCCCCUUACCCAUGCCUCCAGCUACAAAACAAUUCAAUUGCCUUUUUUUUUUGGUCCAAAAUAAAACCUCAGCUAGCUCUGCCAGAAAAAACAAAACAAAACAAAACAUAGAUUCAGUUGUUAUCGCAUCUAGUUUAUUGAGUUCCUUCUAUUUAUAUAAAUUCUUGAUUUGGUAUCAUGCUCAUUCUGAGGUGAAAGUUUAGGGAAUAAAUCAGACAUACAUUUCAGGGCAAAACCCCCUACGUAUUUAAAAGUAAUUAUGACACACUUUGUUAAACAAUUAUCCUGAAUUAUAAUUCUUAGAUAGUCUAUUGGCUUAAUUUAUUACUUGAAAUUGUCACUACUCAUUUGCCAAGUUUACAUGUUUAUUGUCUGUACUUCCUGGUUCUUCCCAGAUAGAUCAAAUGGGCAAAGAAGUCCUUCAGGGAGUUGGUAAUAGCUCUACAUGCUGAUUGGUAACUGAAAUAGCAAGAUAUGGUAGAUCUAACUGGUUAGGAGAUUUCAAUUUAACUUGCUGAACUAAGGAAGUAAUAAAAUGCAGAAUUAUUAGUAAACAUUUCAAUAUUGAUUUGGGCUGUUAUAAUAAAUUACCACUAACUGAGUGGCUUAAACAAUAAACAUUUACUUCUCAUAGUUAGGGAGGAUGUGGGGUCCAUUAUUAAGGCAGAUCUGGUAUCUGGUGAGAACUCACUUCCUGGUUUGGAGAUGGCUAUCUACUCAUUGUAUCCUUGUAUGUUGGAUAGUAGCCAGAGAGCAAGUUCUCAUUUCUCUUAUAUGGGCACUAAUCCCAUUUUUGAGGGCUUCAUCCUCAUGACCUAAUUACCUCCCUAAAACCUCGCCCUUAAUGCCAUCAUAUUGGGGGUUAAGAUUUCAACAUAAAUUUUGGGGGAACACAAACAUUUAGUAUAUAAUUAAUACAGACUAUUUAACAAAGAUGCUUUUUUUGUGUAUGUGAAGUAUAGCUGUUAUAACCAAACACCAGAAAACCUAUUCUGUAUCUGAGACCUGUUUUCCAACAGGCUAUUUGGUGUUAGGUAAUGAUAUCUUGACUUGUAAUGACUCUUGGAAUUGGGAAAGUCUAAAAUACUAUGGAGAUAUUUGCUUUCAGUGUGCCAUAAAAUUCUCUUACAGUCACUUUCUGAAUAAAGAAACCCUCUCUGUUCUGAAACAGACAUUUGUGAAGACUUACACAGGAUUUUGGUUAAUCAAAUGCAAUCUCAAAAAUAAUUGUUAAUUAAUUAGUUUAGACUAUUCUCAUGAUCUAUGCAUUAAACUGGAUUAUGGAAUCUUUCUUUAUAA